AUUGAACGCUGGCGGCAGGCUUAACACACGAAAGUCGAGCGGGGGAAGGUAGCUUGCUACCGGACCUAGCGGCGGACGGGUGAGUAAUGCUUAGGAAUCUGCCUAUUCGUGGGGGACAACAUCUCGAUAGGGAUGCUAAUACCGCAUACGUCCUACGGGAGAAAGCAGGGGAUCUUCGGACCUUGCGUUAAUAGAUGAUACAAAGUAGGAUUAGCUAGUUGGUGGGGUAAAGGCCCACCAAGGUCACGAUCUGAAGCGGGUCUUCGAUGAUGAUCCGCCACACUUGGACUGAGACACGGCCCAGACUCCUACGGGAGGCAGCAGUGGGGAAUAUUGGUCAAUGGGGGGAACCCUGAUCCAGCCAUGCCGCGUGUGUGAAGAAGGCCUUAUGGUUGUAAAGCACUUUAAGCGAGGAGGAGGCUACUUUAGUUAAUACCUAGAGAUAGUGGACGUUACUCGCAGAAUAAGCACCGGCUAACUCUGUGCCAGCCGCCGCAGUAA
rnacentral:rRNA from 1 species